UUUAAUAUGGCAGAAAAAUAGAGUGCAAUGAACUUAAGAUUCAUAUAUAAAAUAUAUAUUAUUUUUAUUAAAA
rnacentral:tRNA from 1 species